rnacentral:lncRNA from 1 species
CAGAUUACAGGCACAUGGCUCCCCGCCCAGCUAAUUUUUGUAUUUUUAGUAGAGACGGGUUUUCACCAUUUUGGUCAGGCUGGUCUUGAACUCCUGACCUCAGGUGAUCCGCCCACCUCAGCCUCCCAAAGUGCUGGGAUUACAGGCAUGAGGCACCACAUUCGGCCAAAGUUCUAUGUCUGGUCACAGCCAUUUACAUUAAUCAGAAUUCACAGAACCAUCCAUCUUGAAGUGGUAAAUUUGCUGCAUAGAAAUUAUACCUCAAAGACCAGACGUUCAAAAAUGCCUUUGUGUUUUGUAAGCUUCAACACUUGCCCAGUGGGAACCACAAAAGCGUUGCCCAAUUUGUUGAAAGCAUUGCUGUUAUAACUUCAACAUGUGGGGAGAAGUUAUGUUUUCAUACUGUCUUUGUCUGCUCUGGCCACCGUUACAAAACACCAUAGACUGGGUGGAUUGAUCAACACACAUUUCUUUCCCACAGUGGAGGCUGGAAGUCCCCAAGACCCAGGUUCCUGGGGAGGGCUUUCUUCCUAGCCUGCAGGUGACCAACAUCUGCUGUGUCCUCUUGUGACUCUUCCUCAGUUCCUGUGCCAGAGGGGUCGGGGGACAAGUGGGCGUCCAUCUUAUAAGUGUCCUCAUAAGGCCACCAUCCUGUCGACCAGGGCACCACCCUAUACCUCAGUCAACCUUAAUGACUUCCUUGGUGGCCCCCUGUCCCGUUGCAGCCAGGGUUAAGCUUCAGCGUGCAAAGUGAAAGGCCACACAAAUCUUUGUCCGUAACAAAUGCCCAGUGGACAGGACACUCGGGUGCCCUGAGGCUGCAGGAGCUGAGGGUGAUCUUGCUCAGGUACUUCUGCUGGUACCUGCUGUAUGGGAAAAAGUCUGUUCCUCCUGGCUGGUGUCAGAAGUAACCAGGCUGAAGCCAUGCUCUGAAAGAACCUGUGCAGGGAGAGAAAGACCUGUUUGAGACCGACCUGAAAGCUCUCCGAGGGGAAAGAGCAGCUUUUCCAGGUGCACGUUUAAGUCAUCAUAUUGGUCUGACAAAGGGAGAAAGCUGGUGUGAGAGUGAGCACUGCAUCAGCCGGCAACAGUGAACAGCCCACACGCGAUCAGCAUGGAAGCCUGGGAGGCCACCAACGUCCAGCAGAUGACAAAUUCACAGGGCGUGGAGGCCUGGGAUGACUUCAGUCUCCACUCCAACAGCCCCAACAAGAAGUUCCUCCACUAAAUGUGCUUCCUGUGGGAAGCUCACUCUCUCCAGAAACAGCCCACAAAAGCCCCAGUCUCAGCCCCUGCAAGGGGAAUUUGGAAUGAAGGUCCUCCCUGGCCCCACCAUCUCUUCACAGCCAGGCUUUGCCCCAUGCAGAGGAUCAGAGCAGCCCAACCUUUGAAUUGGUGUUGUCCAGUGUCUUCACCAAGCCAAAUGGAGAACCCAAGAAGAAGACACAUCUGGUCAUGCCACCUUGUAGGAAGGAACUGACCACAAUGCCAGGGGCACUCUUGGCCUUCUCCCCCCAACACUCCCACCCUCCCAGAGAUCUUCCCUGGCCAGGCAGCCUGGUGCCUUGCAGGGAAAAGGAUGGAGCUUGGUUGGAGAAUCACCGGCUCAGAGCUAUCUUGGGAUGGUGUUUUACAUGGGGUGGCCAAUAGAUGGGGAGAUGGCCAUCGUGAAAGAGCCACAGGUGGGAAGAUGCAAACUGGCUUAUCAUGCUUUUGGCGCCACAAAAAUUAUCAUCACUCUCAUAUUUGGAGAUUCUUCUACGUCCUAGGCUUUUACUGGGGACGUCAUUUAAUUUAAUCCCCAUACCUUUUUGAGGAGGUGUUCCUGGCAUUCUGCAGAUGAGAAAACUGAAGGUGAGGAAGGUGAAGGAGCUCAAGAGAGUUAAAACCACAACUCAGACCCAAGCAUUACCGCACCCAAAGCAUCAUGCUCUCUAGCCUAGGGUACCCUACAUUGGGGCUUUCUAUGAGUUCUGAAAAGAGGGCACGUACCAUACCCAUUGGUCGUUACCCACUCUGCCAUCCAACACCAGUCCCAGGUCCUCUCCUCCUCCUGCAGGCAGACAGGCAUUUUGAAAUUGCUGAAUUGCACUGGUGUGGCAAGUAGAAGCAGAGAGAGGUCACUGUCGAGCUGGGGCAGUUUGUAAUCUUUGUGAAUAAUGACCUUCUGCACUUGCUUUCUCUCCGAGUGGAUGUUGCUGAAUGUUCUCGUUCCCAUGACCACAGUGACAUUUACCACGGCCAUGUCUAAUCUAAAGAGCGAAUAUAAAAACACCAGUGCUAACAAGGGUGAUUGAUAGUGCAAUUCACAUUCAUAGACACAUCUGUAAACAGUGAGUUGACAACUAAGGAGAAGUCCAGUGCAGUGGGUGAGCUACAGUGGUCUGGAGCAUGGCUAGGAUCAGAUAGGUAGGAAUCAGGGGCCCAAGCUCUGACAAAUCUCUGAACCAAUGGGUUGACAGUCCAGGGAAACUCUCCUGACCAAAAGAAGAGGAAUGAAUCCCUCUGAGAGAUGAGAUUGUAAGCUCCUUGAUGACAGGGACCUUGGUUGAUGACAGGGACCUUGGCAGUCUUGUCAACUCCUAUGUCCACAGCACGUGGAACAGUACAUAGUAGGUGCUCAGCAGGAAGGUGUUCAAUUAAUGACUCCAGUGUGUUGUCUUCAUACACAGAUGACAGGGAGGACAGAGUGUAUUGGAUGUACUGGGUGCAUAGCUCUAACUACAGCCCACAUUUGGAUAUGAUUGGCUAAAUGAAGGGGAGGGAGUGGGUGUACAGCAGAGACCCUGGGGUACAAAGCCCAUGCAACAUUUUGCACAUAGAACCUAGGGCUUCAUAGGCCUGUGCACUGGCCUACUGAGCUGCCUAGCCCAGACAAUACAUUGACAAGACGGGAUGUAGAUGAAGACACUUACGGGGUUCUUGGGAAGCAACGUGCGGCUGUCAGAACCCACCACCAAUGUAUGAUUGAGCCUCCACAGAGGUGUUUCCGUGACAUCUGGAUACUCACUUGCCACGGGCACUCACCAUUCUGGACUUGAAGCCGUUCAUGAAAUGGUAACCAUGACGAGUUUGGAAAAGCAGGCCUGUGGCCACAUUGUACAUUUUCUGAAAGAGAAAGGAAAGAGCCAUUUGUACAUGAGAAGCAUGGAGAGAUCCCUAUCCCUUAAUCCCAGAAUCUUCCCAAGUAAGACCAGUGUUGAAAGCUGAGCAAGGUAGCACAAACAGCAAACAGGCCGAGGAGAGGGAGAGCUCAGAAAACACCAGCAACCUGCACCUUUUUCCGUGUUCAUUCUUCACAGCCGCAGAGAGCUGAGAGACCUGGUAAACUCUGAGCAGGGCUCUUUCAGAGGCAUAUAGGGUUAGAGUGGCCAUGGAGAUGCACCAAAGGUACACAGGGUCGACUCACGAGAUGGAAACUGUGCAGUGAUUUGAACAAGGAAAGUUUAACAGGAAGAAUCACACACUGUAACUGGGGAGCGACUACAAAGCAUCAGGAGCACUCUAAGAUACAGCAGGGCAGGAGAGUAUCUGAGGAGGAGCCGAACUUGGCAGGGGAGCCUGUCCCCCUCCCCAGGAGUGGGAUUCACAACACAUUGAAGACGGUGUCUGCAGCCCAGCGGAAGGCAGAGACAUUUGCCUGGUUGCCCGGGGCCAGAGCUGAUCCCCUUUGCUAGAGAAGCAGAGUGCACCUCUCGGGAGUUCAGGUGGCCAGGAAAUGGUGGCCAUGACUGGCAACAAGGAACACCCCUCUGGAGCGCAGGUGGACUGGUGCACCACACAGGUGCCUGCCCACUGGCUAGGGAGGGUGCAAGACCUGGGUGUGUGUGUGUCUGUCUGUCUUGGGACAGCUGCACUGAAAACGUGUAGAGGGCUCGGGGGAUUUCGAGGCUGAUCCAAGAAAAAGAUAUGAUCACGAGGUGGUGGCAGCAUACACAGGUUUCAUUUGAGAAAUGCUUUGGGAGGUUGCAUGCGGGGGAAGCCCUUUACAGCCUGAGACUAUCUGGAGGUUAAGGAGACACCAUCCAGAAGAGGAAGAGGACAAGGGGACUUCUGAGGAAAGAGGACUCUGACAGGGGGUUACUCGUCUAGGUGAUGUGGUUCACUGGCACAGUGGGGAGUCUCUGGGUCAGAGAGCUCUCAAGGGCAGCAAUGGCUUGGGGUCUUUUAUAGCCACAGGCUUCAUACUACCUGUAGCUAGCAGAUGUUGGGUGCAGUUUCACAGGGUAUGCAAAGCAGACAAGCUUUAGAUGGCUAAGUAUCUGUUUAUUUAGACUAUGUUCAAAAACAGCUGGAUGUGUAAAACAUUGAGUUUGGGACCAGCAGGCUUUUGAGCUAAUGAGAAGCCUGCUGUGAAGAAAUUGACAAGCUAAGGGCCAUCCUUGGCUCAUUUGUAGAACAGGUCACUGAACAGAAGACAGGGCUCGAGCUCACUGAGAGAGGCAUGGCAGAGCUGAGCAACACCAGGUGUUCCCCACAUGCUGGUGGCAACGACGCCAUAGGAGCAAGAAGCAGCAAACAGAAGCAUGCUGGAGAGGACCAGGAAGAAAGGCCCCUUCCACCUGCAGUAUCCUUCCAGCACCUACUGCUGAGAAUGCUUAAUGUUGUGCUUGCUACAAAGAAAAAUUUCUUACAGGGUCCGGCUGCAUUACUGCCAACCCAAUUUACAGGGAUCCAAAGAAGGCCUGUAGGGGGUUGGGGGGCAAAAAAGACAUGCAGAGUAAAGGACAUGGUCACUGUGGCCACCAGUCUCCAGCAAAUAUCCAUGCCCUGAAGGACUCCUGGAAAUAGCCCAGGAAAAUGAGAAGCAAAUAGAGACUUGGCACAGGCAUAAUAAAUGUGUAUUCUUUUUUAAAGGAACAGGGAUGGGAA